AACGAACGCUGGCGGCAGGCUUAACACAUGCAAGUCGAACGCAUCCUUCGGGGUGAGUGGCAGACGGGUGAGUAACGCGUGGGAACGUGCCCUUCAGUUCGGAAUAACCCAGGGAAACUUGGGCUAAUACCGGAUACGUGCGAGAGCAGAAAGAUUUAUCGCUGAAGGAUCGGCCCGCGUCUGAUUAGCUAGUUGGUGAGGUAAUGGCUCACCAAGGCGACGAUCAGUAGCUGGUCUGAGAGGAUGAUCAGCCACAUUGGGACUGAGACACGGCCCAAACUCCUACGGGAGGCAGCAGUGGGGAAUAUUGGACAAUGGGCGCAAGCCUGAUCCAGCCAUGCCGCGUGAGUGAUGAAGGCCUUAGGGUUGUAAAGCUCUUUCGUCCGGGACGAUAAUGACGGUACCGGAAGAAGAAGCCCCGGCUAACUUCGUGCCAGCCGCCGCCGUAACAC
rnacentral:rRNA from 1 species